ensembl:snoRNA
AUCCUUUGGUGGUUCAUAAGCAUGACAAUUGACUUCUCACGCUAUUGUGUGAGAUGUACGUCCUUCAAAUCUUGUUGCGAUGCUGGCACAUUACCGAUCUGAUG